rnacentral:rRNA from 1 species
GCGAGUGAGCGGGAAGAGCUCAAAUUUGAAAUCUGGUGGCCUCAGGUCAUCCGAGUUGUAAUCUAUAGAAGUGUUUUCCGUGCUGGCUCAUGUACAAGUCCCUUGGAACAGGGCGUCAUAGAGGGUGAGAAUCCCGUCCUUGACAUGAACUACCAGUGCUCUGUGAUACAUUUUCAACGAGUCGAGUUGUUUGGGAAUGCAGCUCAAAAUGGGUGGUAAAUUCCAUCUAAAGCUAAAUAUUGGCGAGAGACCGAUAGCGAACAAGUACCGUGAGGGAAAGAUGAAAAGCACUUUGGAAAGAGAGUUAAACAGUAUGUGAAAUUGUUGAAAGGGAAACGAUUGAAGUCAGUCGUGCUCUUUGGAUUCAGCCGGUUCUGCCGGUGUACUUCCUUUGAGUGGGGUCAACAUCAGUUUUGAUCGCUGGAUAAAGGCUGGAGGAACGUAGUACCCUCGGGUAAACUUAUAGCCUCCUGUCACAUACAGUGGUUGGGACUGAGGAACGCAGCACGCCUUUAUGGCCGGGAUUCGUCCACGUACGUGCUUAGGAUGUUGACAUAAUGGCUUUAAACGACCCGUCUUGAA